rnacentral:rRNA from 1 species
CCUACGGGGGGCUGCAGUGGGGAAUUUUCUGCAAUGGGCGAAAGCCUGACAGAGCAAUACCGCGUGAGGGAACGAAGGCUUUCGAGUUGUAAACCUCUUUUUUCAAGGAUGAAGAUCUGACAGUACUUGAAGAAUAAGCAUCGGCUAACUCUGUGCCAGCAGCCGCGGUAAUACAGGGGAUGCAAGUGUUAUCCGGAAUUAUUGGGCGUAAAGCGUCUGUAGGUUGAUUUAUAAGUCUUUUGUUAAAUAUUUAAGCUUAACUUAAAAAAUGCAAA